rnacentral:tRNA from 1 species
UCCCUGGUGGCUCAGAUGGUAAAGAAUCUGCCUGCGAUGCAGGAGACCCAGGUUCAAUCCCUGGGUUGGGAA